rnacentral:lncRNA from 1 species
CAUUGGUAGAGAUCCUCUCUAUUUAUAGAUAAUUUCUAUGACCUAAUAAGUAUAGGACUCCUAACUCAAAUAUGCUUUGAAUCAGUCUAAUACUCAUGAAAGAAGGACUCCUACAUGAGAUACAAUUGCCGUCACAUAUGGCAACCACAUUGCACCCAAUCCCACACCCAUAUGGGACACCCACAACCAGCAAGAUUUUAGGUGCUGGUCAGCCCAUA